GGAGAUACUGUGCAGCUAGGGAGUGGGAGAGGUAGACGGUACUCGGUAGGAAGGGGUAAAAUCCUUUGAUCUAUUGAUGACCACCUGUGGCGAAGGCGGUCUGCUAGAACCNNGUCCGACGGUGAGGCAUGAAAGCUGGGGGAGCAAACCGGAUUAGAUACCCGGGUAGUCCCAGCUGUAAACAAUGCAAACUCAGUGAUGCAUUGGCUUGUGGCCAGUGCAGUGCCGCAGGGAAGCCGUUAGGUUUGCCGCCUGGGAAGUACGUACGCAAGUAUGAAACUUAAAGGAAUUGGCGGAGGAGCACCACAAGGGGUGAAGCCUGCGGUUCAAUUGGAGUCAACGCCAGAAAUCUUACCCGGAGAGACAGCAGAAUGAAGGUCAAGCUGAAGACUUUACCAGACAAGCUGAGAGGUGGUGCAUGGCCGUCGCCAGCUCGUGCCGUGAGAUGUCCUGUUAAGUCAGGUAACGAGCGAGAUCCCUGCCUCUAGUUGCCACCAUUACUCUCAGGAGUAGUGGGGCGAAUUAGCGGGACCGCCGCAGUUAAUGCGGAGGAAGGAAGGGGCCACGGCGGGUCAGUAUGCCCCGAAACUCUGGGGCCACACGCGGGCUGCAAUGGUAAUUACAAUGGGUUCCAAAUCCGAAAGGAGAAGGUAAUCCUCAAAUGUUACCACAGUUAUGACUGAGGGCUGCAACUCGCCCUCACGAAUAUGGAAUCCCUAGUAACCGCGUGUCAUUACCGCGCGGUGAAUACGUCCCUGCUCCUUGCACACACCGCCCGU
rnacentral:rRNA from 1 species